UAAUUUGUUUGAGGAAGAUCUUCAUUUAGUUAUGACAGACUCAUACUUGACUACUCAGAAUCACCCACUACUGUGUGAACAAUAACUUUUUGAUAUUUUAUUUGAAAU
rfam:Populus trichocarpa isolate Nisqually-1 chromosome 9, whole genome shotgun sequence.